rnacentral:rRNA from 1 species
GACGAACGCUGGCGGCGUGCCUAAUACAUGCAAGUAGAACGCUGAAGGAGGAGCUUGCUUCUCCGGAUGAGUUGCGAACGGGUGAGUAACGCGUAGGUAACCUGCCUGGUAGCGGGGGAUAACUAUUGGAAACGAUAGCUAAUACCGCAUAACAGUAGAUGUUGCAUGACAUUUGCUUAAAAGGUGCAAUUGCAUCACUACCAGAUGGACCUGCGUUGUAUUAGCUAGUUGGUGAGGUAACGGCUCACCAAGGCGACGAUACAUAGCCGACCUGAGAGGGUGAUCGGCCACACUGGGACUGAGACACGGCCCAGACUCCUACGGGAGGCAGCAGCAGGGAAUCUUCGGCAAUGGACGGAAGUCUGACCGAGCAACGCCGCGUGAGUGAAGAAGGUUUUCGGAUCGUAAAGCUCUGUUGUAAGAGAAGAACGAGUGUGAGAGUGGAAAGUUCACACUGUGACGGUAUCUUACCAGAAAGGGACGGCUAACUACGUG